rnacentral:rRNA from 1 species
CCCCUAGAUGUUCUGGGCCGCACGCGCGCUACACUGAACAGUUCAACAAGUCUUAACCUUGGCCGAUAGGUCUGGGUAAUCUUUGAACGCCGGUCGUGAUGGGGAUAGAUCCUUGCAAUUUUUGAUCUUCAACGAGGAAUUCCUAGUAAAUGCGAGUCAUCAUCUCGCGUUGAUUACGUCCCUGCCCUUUGUACACACCGCCCGUCGCACCUACCGAUUGAAUGGUCCGGUGAAGCCUCGGGAUUGCGAAUGCUUCGUGCGGACGCGAGAACUUGGCUAAACCUUACCAUUUAGAGGAAGGUGAANUCGUAACA